rnacentral:rRNA from 1 species
UACAGAGGGUGCGAGCGUUAAUCGGAAUUACUGGGCGUAAAGCGUGCGUAGACGGUUAUUUAAGUCAGGUGUGAAAGCCCCGGGCUCAACCUGGGAAUUGCAUUCGAGACUGAAUAGCUAGGGUACGGUAGAGGGAAGUGGAAUUUCCGGUGUAGCGGUGAAAUGCGUAGAUAUCGGAAGGAACAUCAGUGGCGAAAGCGACUUCCUGGACCAGUACCGACGUUCAGGCACGAAAGCGUGGGGAGCAAACAGG